UAACAGUAUAUAGUGGCAACCUAAUAGAACUGAAAAUGAACCUCUAGAUUUAGUUAACAUAUGAUUUAAUUCCUCUAUCGUAAGUUCCGACUAGAUGGCAGGUCAUGGAUAAAUCGUCAAACCUCAACAUCAAUCAUAUGAUAGAUUCGAUUAGCUCAAAUUCAAAUGUAAUGUCUAUGAAAACUCUUUUUCAUGAAUCACUCUACUAUGGCCCC
rnacentral:lncRNA from 1 species